rnacentral:misc_RNA from 1 species
UUUCCGUAGGUGAACCUGCGGAAGGAUCAUUACCGAGUGAGGGCCCUCUGGGUCCAACCUCCCACCCGUGUUUAUUAUACCUUGUUGCUUCGGUGAGCCCGCCUCACGGCCGCCGGGGGGCAUCUGCCCCCGGGCCCGCGCCCACCGAAGACACCUAGAACUCUGUAUGAAGAUUGCAGUCUGAGCAAAAACUAAAUAAGUUAAAACUUUCAACAACGGAUCUCUUGGUUCCG